rnacentral:rRNA from 1 species
GGGACACGUGGUAUCCUGUCUGAAUAUGGGGGGACCAUCCUCCAAGGCUAAAUACUCCUGACUGACCGAUAGUGAACCAGUACCGUGAGGGAAAGGCGAAAAGAACCCCGGCGAGGGGAGUGAAAAAGAACCUGAAACCGUGUACGUACAAGCAGUGGGAGCCUCUUAAUGGGGUGACUGCGUACCUUUUGUAUAAUGGGUCAGCGACUUAUAUUCUGUAGCAAGGUUAACCGAAUAGGGGAGCCGAAGGGAAACCGAGUCUUAACUGGGCGUUAAGUUGCAGGGUAUAGACCCGAAACCCGGUGAUCUAGCCAUGGGCAGGUUGAAGGUUGGGUAACACUAACUGGAGGACCGAACCGACUAAUGUUGAAAAAUUAGCGGAUGACUUGUGGCUGGGGGUGAAAGGCCAAUCAAACCGGGAGAUAGCUGGUUCUCCCCGAAAGCUAUUUAGGUAGCGCCUCGUGAAUUCAUCUCCGGGGGUAGAGCACUGU